rnacentral:lncRNA from 1 species
AAGCUUUUAGGAAGUUUCUUCCGCUCUUUGACAGAGUAUUGGUGGGAAGGGGUGCCGCCAAAAUGUAACCAAAGGUGGCAUUAUGCUUCCAGAAAAGGCUCAAGGAAAAGUGUUGCAAGCAACAGUCAUGGAGGAAAGGGCGGAGAGAUUGAGCCUGUCAGUGUGAAAGUUGGAGAUAAAGUUCUUCUCCCAGAAUAUGGAAGCACCAAAGUAGUUCUAGACAACAAGGAUUAUUUCUUAUUUAGAGAUAGUGACAUUCUUGGAAAGUAUGUCGACU